CACAAACAGGAAAUGAUGUUGAUGUUUAAUAUUAACACGAUUCAUGUGAUUCACAGUCAUAGUAAGUUAUAUAACUUCAUAGUAUAGUAAAUCAUUAAAACUGACAUAGUAUAGCAUGAUAUUAAAACCAAUCAAAACGUCAUAGUAUAGUAAGGCAUAAAAAGUAAAAAAAAAAUAGUAUAGUAAGGCAUAAAAAACAAAAAAAAAAUUAUAAUAUUGUAAGGCAUAAAAAGUAAAAAAAAUUAUAGUAUAGUAAAGCAUAAAAAACAAAGAAAUUAUAAUAUAGUAAGGCAUAAAAAGUAAAAAAAAUUAUAGUAUAGUAAGGCAUAAAAAACAAAAAAAAAAUCAUAGUAUAGUAAGGCAUAAAAAGUAAAAAAAAAAACAUCAUAAUAUAGUAAGGCAUAAAAAGUUAAAAAAAAAGUCAGAAUAGUAAGGCAUAAAAAACAAAAAAAAAAUCAUAGUAUAGUAAGGUAUAAAAAGUAAAAAUAAAAUCAUAGGCAUAAGGCAUAAAAAGCUAAAAAAAAAGGUCAUAAUAUGGCAAGGCAUAAAAAGUCAUAGCAUAUUAAGGUAUAAAAAGUGAAAAAAAAGUCAUUAUAGUAGGGCAUAAAAAGUCAUAAAAACGUCAUAGUAUAGUAAGACAUAAGUCAAAAAUAAGUUAUAGUAUAGUAAGGCAUAAAAAGUUAUAGUAUAGUAAGGCAUAAAAAGUGAAAAAAAAGUCAUAGUAUAGUAAGGUAAAAAAAGUUUAAAAAAACGUCACAGUAUAGUAAGGCAAAAAAAGUCAUAGUAUAGUAAGGCAAAAAAGGUCAUAGUAUAGUAAGGCAAAAAAAGUCAUAGUAUAGUAAGGCAAAAAAAAGUCAAGGUAUAAUAGGGCAUAAAUGGUCAUAGUAUAAUAAGGCAUAAAAAGUAAAAUAAAUAGUCAUAGUAUAGUAAGACAAAAAAAGUCAAAAAAAUAGUCAUAGUAUAGUAAGGCAAAAAAAAGUAUAGUAAGGCAAAAAAUAGUCAUAGUAUAGUAAGGCAAAAAAAAGUAAAAAAAAAAGUCAUAGUAUAGUAAGUCAAAAAAUAGUCAUAGUAUAGUAAGGCACAAAAAGUAAUAAAAAAAGUCAUAGUAUAGUAAGGCAAAAAAAAAAGUCAUAGUAUAGUAAGGCAAAAAAAGUCAAAAAAAUAGUCAUAGUAUAGUAAGUCAAAAAAAUAGUCAUAGUAUAGUAAGGCAAAAAAAAGUCAUAGUAUAGUAAGGCAAAAAAAAUUCAUACUAUAGUAAGGCAUAAAAAGUAUAAAAAAGUCAUAGUAUAGUAAGGCAUAAAAAGUGAAAAAAAAGUCAUAGUACAGUAAGGCAAAAAAAGUCAUAGUAUAGUAAGUCAAAAAAAUUGUCAUAGUAUAGUAAGGGAAAAAAGUUUAAAAAAAGUCACAGUAUAGUAAGGGAAAAAAAGUCAUAGUAUAGUAAGGCAUAAAAAGUCUAAAAAAUAGUCAUAGUAUAGUAAGGCAAAAAAAUCAAAAAAAGUCAUAGUAUAGUAAGGCAAAAAAAGUCAUAGUACAGUAAGGCAAAAAAAAGUCAUAGUAUAGUAAGGCUAAAAGUAAAAAAAAAAGUCAUAGUAUAGUAAGUCAAAAAAUAGUCAUAGUAUAGUAAGGCACAAAAAGUAAUAAAAAAAGUCAUAGUAUAGUAAGGCAAAAAAAAAGUCAUAGUAUAGUAAGGCAAAAAAAAAGUCAUAGUAUAGUAAGGCAAAAAAAGUAAAAAAAAUAGUCAUUGUAGUAAGGCAAAAAAAGUAAGUCAUAGUAUAGUAAGGCAUAAAAAGUCUAAAAAAUAGUCAUAGUAUAGUAAGGCAAAAAAGUCAUAGUAAAAAAAGUUUAAAAAAAGUCAUAGUAUAGUAAGGCAAAAAAAAGUCACAGUAUAGUAAGGCAAAAAAUAGUCAUACUAUAAUAAGGCAAAAAAGUCAAAAAAAGUCAUAGUAUAGUAAGGCAAAAAAAGUCAUAGUACAGUAAGGCAAAAAAAAGUCAUAGUAUAGUAAGGCUAAAAAAAGUUAAAAAAAAAGUCAUAGUAUAGUAAGGCUAAAAAAAGUCAUAGUAUAGUAAGGCAAAAAAAAAGUCAUAGUAUAGUAAGGCAAAAAAAGUCAUAGUAUAGUAAGGCAUGAAAAGUAAAAAAAAUAGUCAUAGUAGUAAGGCAAAAAAAGUAAAAAAAAAAAGUCACAGUAUAGUAAGGCAAAAAAGUCAUAGUAUAGUAAGGCAUAAAAAGUCCAAAAAAUAGUCAUAGUAUAGUAAGGCAAAAAAGUCAAAAAAAGUCAUAGUAUAGUAAGGCAAAAAAUAGUCAUAGUAUAGUAAGGCAAAAAAAAAGUCACAUUAUAGUAAGGCAAAAAAAGUCAUAGUAUAGUAAGGCAUAAAAAGUCUAAAAAAUAGUCAUAGUAUAGUAAGGCAAAAAAGUCAUAGUAAAAAGAGUUUAAAAAAAGUCAUAGUAUAGUAAGGCAAAAAAAAGUCACAGUAUAGUAAGGCAAAAAAUAGUCAUACUAUAAUAAGGCAAAAAAGUCAAAAAAAGUCAUAGUAUAGUAAGGCAAAAAAAGUCAUAGUACAGUAAGGCAAAAAAAAGUCAUAGUAUAGUAAGGCUAAAAAAAGUUAAAAAAAAAAGUCAUAGUAUAGUAAGGCAAAAAAAAGUCAUAGUAUAGUAAGUCAAAAAAUAGUCAUAGUAUAGUAAGGCACAAAAAGUAAUAAAAAAAGUCAUAGUAUAGUAAGGCAAAAAAAAAGUCAUAGUAUAGUAAGGCAAAAAAAGUCAUAGUAUAGUAAGGCAUGAAAAGUAAAAAAAAUAGUCAUAGUAGUAAGGCAAAAAAAGUUAAAAAAAAAAGUCACAGUAUAGUAAGGCAAAAAAGUCAUAGUAUAGUAAGGCAUAAAAAGUCCAAAAAAUAGUCAUAGUAUAGUAAGGCAAAAAAGUCAAAAAAAGUCAUAGUAUAGUAAGGCAAAAAAUAGUCAUAGUAUAGUAAGGCAAAAAAAAAGUCACAUUAUAGUAAGGCAAAAAAAGUCAUAGUAUAGUAAGGCAUAAAAAGUUAAAAAUAGUCAUAGUAUAGUAAGGCAAAAAAGUCACAAAAAGUCAUAGUAAAAAAAGUAAAAAAAUAGUCAUAGUAUAGUAAGGCAAAAAAAGUCAAAAAAAUAGUCAUAGUAUAGUAAGGAAAAAAAGUAAAAAAAAAAGUCAUAGUAUAGUAAGGCAAAAAAAAGUCAUAGUAUAGUAAGGCAAAAAAAUAGUCAUAGUAUAGUAAGGCAAAAAAAAGUCACAGUAUAGUAAGGCAAAAAAAGUUUUAAAAAAGUCAUAGUAUAGUAAGGCAAAAAAGGGCAUAGUAUAGUAGGGCAUAAAUAGUCAUAGUAUAAUAAGGCAUAAAAAGUAAAAAAAAGUCAUAGUAUAGUAAGGCAAAAAAAGUCAUAGUAUAGUAAGUCAAAAAAAUAGUCAUAGUAUAGUAAGGCAAAAAAAGUAAAAAAAAAAGUCACAGUAUAGUAAGGCAAAAAAAGUCAUAGUAUAGUAAGGCAAAAAAAAGUCAAGGUAUAGUAGGGCAUAAAUAGUCAUAGUAUAAUAAGGCAUAAAAAGUAAAAUAAAUAGUCAUAGUAUAGUAAGGCAAAAAAAGUAAAAAAAAAAGUCAUAGUAUAGUAAGGCAAAAAAAAGUCACAGUAUAGUAAGGCAAAAAAGUCAUAGUAUAGUAAGGCAAAAAAAGUCA